rnacentral:misc_RNA from 1 species
CAGAGUUACCCGACUCUCCAAACCAACUGCGAACCCUACCUUACCGUUGCUUCGGCGGGCGGCGCCCCGCGCCCCUGGCCCCACCGAGGGCGCCCGCCGGAGGAAUACCCAAACCCUUUGACAGCACAUGGCCUCUCUGAGUCUUACUGAAUAAGUCA